UACGUAGGCAGCAAGCGUUGUUCGGAGUUACUGGGCGUAAAGGGUGUGUAGGCGGUCUUCUAAGUUUGGUGUGAAAUCUCCCGGCUCAACUGGGAGGGUGCGCCGAAAACUGGCAGGCUAGAGUACUAAAGAGGGUCGCGGAAUUCCUGGUGUAGCGGUGAAAUGCGCAGAUAUCAGGAAGAACACCCCGUGGCGAAGGCGGCUUUCUGGGACGGUACUGACGCUGAGACGCGAAAGCGUGGGGAGCGAACAGG
rnacentral:rRNA from 1 species